GACGAACGCUGGCGGCGUGCUUAACACAUGCAAGUCGAGCGGAGCGGCGAACGGGUGAGUAACGCGUGAGUAACUGCCCCCCUCUCUGGGAUAACAGUUGGAAACGGCUGCUAAUACCGGAUAGUGGGGGAUGACUCGCGUCCUAUCAGCUUGUUGGUGGGGUAGUGGCCUACCAAGGCGACGACGGGUAGCCGGCCUGAGAGGGCGACCGGCCACAUUGGGCUGAGAUACGGCCCAAACUCCUACGGGAGGCAGCAGUGGGGGAUAUUGCACAAUGGGCGAAAGCCUGAUGCAGCGACGCCGCGUGGGGGAUGAAGGCUUUCGGGUUGUAAAACUCUGUUGUUAGAGAAGCGUUAGUAACUGAACGUCCCCUGACGGUAUCUAACCAGAAAGCCACGGCUAACUACGUGCCAGCAGCCGCGGUAAUUC
rnacentral:rRNA from 1 species